GUGAGAGCAGUUGUUUUGUAAUACCAAUAUAAAAAAUCAUUACAAUCUUUCAAUAGCUAUACUAACUUGUUUAACCACCCUGAUUCUUCCUUGAGAAAUAGCUAUAGUAUUUGUUUCCCUGUUAGCAAUUUGAAAGUUCUCGGAGAACAUUUUUAUAUUGCAGUGAAGAGUGGCUGAAGAGGAUGGACCGAAGCUUGGCUUCCAUUAAGCCAAUAAUGGAGUCCACCUAUGGUAAGGAUCAGGCUGUGAAAUGGACAGUGUAUUGGAGAACAUUCUUUAUUGCUGUUGCGGAACUCUUUGGAUACAAUAAUGGAGAAGAAUGGAUGGUUGCAGUUUUCCUAUUCAAGAAGAAAUAAAGCCGUCGUCAAUGCUCGUAGUCAAUGCUCAUUUCCACCAAGAAUCAGCUUUGGGCAUUAGGGGACUAAAAUAAGAGCAACUGUAGAAUCGCUGAAAAUUUUGCAACUCGUACUAGUCACACACGUCUAGCUACUUGUUCCAUUGGAAAGACGAAUGCAUUUUGUACUUUGGACGAAACCAAACAACUGCAUCAAGAAGCGUCAAUGCAGAGAAUAAAUCAUAGCAAAAAAUUUAAAUAAUUGAUGAAAGUAUAACUUCAGUUAGCUACUUCACCUGUUUUGUUUUACACUAUUUAGCAACAUUCUCAACUGGGUUUCCACUAUUAUCUCGAAAAUGGAACCAACAACGUCAUCAGCUUCCAAGGAGACUGGCUAUGACUGUUCUCCAUCAUAGACCCAGGGAAAUUCAUACAGAAGUUGCAAGGAAGGCUAUCAGGGAUUAACAGGCUCAAGUUCAUCAGCAAUAACUUGUCUGGUUCCCUUCUCAUAUCUCAGCCACUCUAAUGUAGCUUGGAUGGCCAUACUUAAUAGGCUUCCUUCUCUAAUGACCUCCUUUUCUUUUCUACUCUGAAACAGAUUAUUGAUUCCUAUAACUUUUUCUUUUUCUUUUCUGAAAGGAGGGCAGCUAAAAUCUAUUAGGAAAUUUUUUGUAGGGGUAGAAAUGAAAUUUUAAUUUUUAAUAGUUUAAAUCUUUAUAAUUUUUAAAAGAUUAAAUCAAAUUUUUAUAAUUUUAGUGGGGUCAAAGUGUAAUUUUACUUUUACUAAAUUAAAAUUUUAAAAAUUUCUAAAGUCCCUGCAAAAUUCACAUGAUAAUAAAUACUUGAAUAGGAAACUAACUUGGUAUUACAUUAUAAGAAAUGCUUAAUCAUGAGGUGUGUUGUGGUGUUUUCAAUUGAAAUAUGCUUCAUCAUCAAUUAGCCACUUAUGUUUGUUAGGCUUUAAUUGAAAACACAACUGGCUAACAAAAGAACCAUACAACUAAAAGCUUAUUCGUCUUCUACUUCUGAGACUCAAACCAGUCUAUCUAAAGAAAUGUACAAACAUCUGCCUUUUGACAAAGGCAUGUUUGACCUAUUUUAACUCAAGACGCAAACCAGCGCAUGCUUACCUUUGAGUACAGAGGAUCCUUUGGGUCUAAGUUUAGAAAAUCGCCAUGAAAAACUUCAAUAUAUACAACCAAUUAAGAGUAACAUACCACAACAAAAAUUCUCAUACAAGUGAGGAUAAUGACAACAACAUAUGCGAGGAGAUGACUGAAAUGAAAACCUAUGCAUAAGAUUUUAUUUUUGGGAUUCGGCCAGCACCCAUCAAUAUUCAUUAUAUAACCAAAAUGAAUCUGCAUAAGCAGGGGCAAAGCCAGAACAAUCUUUUAAGGGGCUGAAUGAAAUUUUAAAUUUUUAUAGUUUAUAUUUUUAUAAUUUUUAAAGGAUUAAAUUAAAUUUUUAUAAUUUUAGGGGGACAAAAUAUAAUUUUACUUUUACAAAUUUAAAUUUUUUUAAAAAUUUUAAGAACUUAAAUAACAAUUUUAUAUUUUAGAGAGGUUGGGGCCUAUGCCAACCCCUCUAGAUUCGCAAUUGUGCAUGUGUAUAAAAUAUUUAAACAAUUAUAAAUAUAAAAAUGACUCAAUAUACAAGUAACAACAUAAAAAUAAUAAAUUAAUAAAUUGACAAGUUUUUCUAGCAAGAACACUAGGUAAACAAGCAAUGUGUGAUGAUCAUUAACUCACCUCCCAUCCUAAUUCAAGAUUAAGAGCCACUGCCACCAUAGAACUCGCUUUCCCCUGUAUGAUUGCAAAUUUGAGUCAAACAAAAAAACCUAAAAGAAAUUGAGAAAUUGCUAUUAGUGCAUGGUCACAAUAUUCCAACCGUAGACAACUAUAUUCGUAGCGACUAAUCCAAAAAUCAAUUUAGUGGACCGAAAUUGAAUUAUAAAAUUUUGAAAUGUCAAAAUAUAAUUUUAUCAUUUAUUAAUUUAUGAUUUCAUUAUUUUUGUAGAGAUUAAACAUAAUUUUUUUUACUUUAAGAGAGCCAAAGUGUAAUCUUACCAUAUAUUGACUUAAAAUUUUAUUAUUAAUAAAAAUAUUAAAUUACAUAAUUUUUAUUUUUAUAGAGUCCAAAACUUCUACGUGCCCCUUUUAAAUUUACCCCUAUUUACUAGUCAGUUAUUCAUGAAUUAUUAAAGACUUAAUUGCAUAAACAUGUUUACCUUCGUUACAUUUGAUAAGAUAAUAAUCCUUAAAAUAUAUAAAUAGCAUAAUUCGCAAACAAAUUAAAUAUAAAUUUAAAUUAGUUUAAAAGUAAAUUCACGAAUAAAUUUAUUUUUAUACUUAUUCAAACUAAAAAUAAAAACAAUUAUUUAAAUAUAUUUUGCUUUAAACAAUUAUUAUAUUCUAUUAUUAAAUCAAUUUUUGAGGCAAUAUUCGAACUAAUAAUUUUAAAUACAUUUUUAUUAUAUUCUUAUAAGAAAUACAUACAAUAUUUAAAUAUAUAUAUGAACAUGCAUGUACAAUUUUUUAUCUCUUCCUUUUAUUUUUGUUUCUCUCUUUUCAGUUUAAUUUGCAUGUCUUUGUACUAUUUCAAGCUUUUGAAAUUUGGUUUUUUUUUUUUACUUUAAUUUUAAGAAAUUAAUCUCUCUAUUAAUUUAAAAAUUAAAAUCUAAGUAAUAAUAUUUUUAUUAGACUACUAUUGAUUUUGAAUAAGCGGUAUUUUAAUAGUCAAAGGCUUGAUUUAAAAAUUAAACAAAUUCAAAGUUAAUAGAAGUCAAAUAACAAUGUUGUCAAUUAAACAUUAUCUUUUAAGAGUUAAUUGCAAUCAUACACCUUUAAAAUAUAACCUUUGUUGACACCAUUUUUUUGAUUGAAAAACGGGGUCGACUUGGAUUUUGAAAAUAAAACGAAAUUGGGAGUCGCCACCAAUCUUUUUUGAUGAGGUGUGAUCGGGUCACCUCGUAAAAUGGUUGUUUUUGAUAAACAAUUUGAUUUUAUUAAAACAACGAGUUUGGUCUACGAAAUCCAAAAACAGGUUCGGGAGUCGGUUACGCACGAGGAAGGGUUAGCACCCUCGAUACGCCCAAAAUUGGUACCUAGUUGAUUUCUUAAUGUCUUGGUGUCGAAAAUUAAAAACUCAAAAAGAAUUUAAAAUACGAUCCCUCCUUAUAUUGUUAUUUUAAAAUUACUCAAAUAAAUCAAAAUGGAAAAUGCUUCCUUAUCUCGAAGUAACAAGAUGUCACGUCCAGUAAGUUAGGAUACAACACAUCGUAUUUUCGAGAGUAAGCUUGCCUUUAUUUUUUGUUUAAACCUCAUUUAUUUUAAUUUCAAAAGGAUGUUCGGUUAUUUAGGAUCAACGCGAGAAGAAUCGAAGCUCAGUAAGUUAGGGCACGAUUUUCUCGAAUUUUCUAAAUACGAAAUAUUGCCUUCAUUAUCGAAAGUUUAAAAGGGUAUUUGGCCAUUUGGUCGAACGAGAAAUCGGAACCCAGCACGUUAGGGCACGUUUUCUCGAAUUUUCCAAAAUCGAAAUAUUGCCUUAAUUUAAAACUUUUCCUUUUUGAAUAAUUGCGAGUACAAUACUCGAACGGGAUGCAUUUGUUUUGGGAGUAAAACAAAAUAGAUUAUAUCGAAUAAAAAUGUUGAAACAUUCACGAUGCAAUAGCAUGAAAUAAAAUAUAAUAGUGCACACGGGAUAAUAAUAUAGGAAUACAAUACUGAUGUAAGUGAAUGCCAAUGAUAUGAAAGCGAAUAAACGAAUUAACGUACACGUAAUGGCAAUAAUCUCACAACAUUCAUCAUUUAAAAAUAACAUCAAUAAAUAAAGUCUAAUGAAUUAAAAAAUAAUUUAAAAAAGUAUAAAACAAACUAAAAUCAAAUAAAAAUGUAAAAAAAUAAAAUAAAAUAAAAUGGUGAUUGAGAAUAUAUAUAAAACAAAUUUAAAAAGGAUGAUAUAUAUAAAUAAAACAAAUGAUGUACAUAUAUGUAUAAGUAUAACAUAAUAUAAGAAAAGAAAAAUCUAAAAAAUAAAAAAAUAAUAAAGCAUUUUAAAAUAAAUAUGUUGCAUUUAAAAAGGUGUUCAAAACCAUUUUUAAAUAAUAAAACACGAAUCUGGACUGAAAUGAACGCGGGUAAAACAACCAGGGACUAAUCCUGGAAUUAUUCCUAAAGUCCCAUGCGCAGCGUUUCACUGGGACUGAAAUGAAUCAACAGCGAAACCUUCGGGGUCAAAUUAAAAAGCUUAAAAAGAUAAAAGGACUGCAUUGAAGACAGGUAACAAAACUAAAGGAUCCGCAACGCAAAUAACCCAUUCGGCCUUGAGAACGCGCGGAUCCUCUGCUUAACCGGGUCGGGUCUUUGGGUUAAAGACGAAACGGCGUCGUUUUGGCCAUGGUGCUAAGGCCCAAAACGACGUCGUUUUACACCCAAAAUAAAUACUCUAAAAAAAACAAAAAUCAGUUUAAACCCACUUUUAAAAAAAAUCAGAGAGCUUUCAAACUCUCUCUAACAGCCUCGAAUCCGGCCACAUGGGGCCACCGUCUGCGCCGCCGUGGCUCCACCGUAGGCGGUGGCCGGAGCGACGUGGGGAUCGGAUUUUCAACCCGAUUUAAUGACCAUUUGAAGGCCAAACCUUCUAGGCUCAAAAGCCGAAAGAAGAGAACCCCCCAACACCCCUUCGGGGUCCGAUUUCAGUGACCAAACACGGCCACCGGCGAUGGGAUUUACGGCGAACAGGUAUGGCGCUCUUCCUCUCUUCUUUCUAUUUAUUAUUUAUUGUUAAAACUAUUUGUAAAAGAGAUGAACAAAACAAAAAAUAAUAAGAAUAAGAAUAAAAAGAAAACAUCAAACAGAAAACAAAAAAGAAGAAAAGAAAACGAUCAGAUUUUUAACUUAUAAAAUCUGUGUUCUCAUUUUGAUUAAUUUAUGUAUGUUCGUUUACACAGAAAAUCGAAGGAGCUCUAAAAAUGGCUCUUGUUGUUUUUUAUAGGCCAUUACAAACUGUUUUUUUAUUAUUAUUGAUUGCUCUUUAUUUCUUUGCCUUCAUUUCUCUUAUCAGGUGGUCUGACACGCGUGGAGGGCCAACGGCGGUAGUGUCAGAGGCGUGCACUGAAGGUGCCUGGUGGCUGGGGGUGGCAGACGAGGAGGCCACCCGAGGCAUGCGGCUCCUAGGGUUUCUUUUACUCAUUUCUGCUGAAAAUGUUAAUGUUGUUUGGGCUAGGUUUUUAAUUUUUGGGCCCAUUUGUGAUUGGGUUAUUAUUUUUACUAGGCCAGCAAAUUUGGGCUUUUACAGCUGCCCCUCUUUGCUCGUUUUCGUGUAACGAGAACAGAGCAAAGACUAAGAAGGACCAAAUUUGUCUGGUCUCGCCGAGGCUUGGUUUCUUUGGGUACUGCUCCAAUCCACUGCGUCUUAUUACUUCGAUCCUCUUUACGGCAUCUUUAGAGAGAUAUGACUUCAAUCUACUCUGCUACGACUCCAUGGGAAUGAGAUUUGUGUUUUUAGUCUGCUCCACUACUACUUAGGGAGAUAAGACUGGAUGUGAUCUGCUCCACUACUGCUUAGGGAGAUAAGAUCUGUGCUCUUCACUCUAUUCCACUGUUGCCCAGGGAGAUAGAACUACCAGAUUCAAUGUACUCCACCGUAAUCAGGGAGGUAAAAUCUGCCAUCUUCGACCUACUCCACUAUUGCUUAGGGAGAUAAGAUCUGUAAUCUUCACUCUAUUCCACUGUUGCCCAGGGAGAUAGAACUACUGGCUUUAAUGUACUCCACCGUAAUCAGUGAGGUAAAAUCCACCAUCUUCGACCUGCUCCACUAUUGUCUAGGGAGAUAAGAUCUGUAAUCUUCACUCUAUUCCACUGUUGCCCAGGGAGAUAGAACUACUGGCUUUAAUGUACUCCACCGUAAUCGGAGAGGUAAAAUUCACCAUCUUCGACCUGUUCCACUAUUGCUUAGGGAGAUAAGAUCUGGUUUCUUUCGUCUGCUCCACUACUGCUUAGGGAGAUAAGACUUGAUGUGAUCUGCUCCACUACUGCUUAGGGAGAUAAGAUCUGUGGUUUUGUCCGUUCCGCUACUGCUUAGGGAGAUAAGACUUGAUACGAUCCGCUCCACUAUUGCUUAGGGAGAUAAGAUCUGUGGUUUUCACUCUAUUCCACUAUUGAAUGCAGGGAGAUAGAGUUAUCGGCUUCAAUGUACUCCACUGUAGUCAGGGAGGUAAAAUCCGCCAUCGUCGAUCUGCUUCGCUGCCCAAUACAGGAAGGCAAGAUCUGCAAUCCUCAAUCUAUUCCACUGUCAAAUACAGGGACAAGAUCUGCUUUCUUCGAUCUACUUCACCACCAGUAUGGGAAGACAAGAUCUGUAUCUUGGAUCCACUUCCUAUCAAUAUAGGAAGAUAGGACCUGCUAUCUUCGAUCUACUUCACGCCAAUACAUGAAGACAAGAUCUGCUUUCUGCGAUCUACUUCGCCACCAAUAUGGGAAGACAAGAUCUGCAUCGUCGAUCCACUUCCUACCAAUAUAGGAAGACCGGACCUGCUAUCUUCGAUCUACUUCACGCCAAUACAUGAAGACAAGAUCUGCUUUCUGCGAUCUACUUCGCCACCAAAUGGGAAGACAAGAUCUGCAUCUUCGAUCCACUUCCUACUAAUAUAGGAAGAUAGGAUCUGCUACCUUCGAUCUACUUCACGCCAAUACAUGAAGAUAAGAUCUGCUUUCUGCGAUCUACUUCGCCACCAAUAUGGGAAGACAAGAUCUGUAAUCUUCAAUCUAUUCCACUGCCAAAUACAGGGAGAUAGAGUUAUUGACUUCAAUCUACUCCACUGUAGUCACAGGGAGGUAAAAUCUGCCAUCUUCGAUCUGCUUCGCUGCCAAAUACAGGAAGGCAAGAUCUGCAAUCUUCAAUCUAUUCCACUGCCAGAUACAGGGAGAUAGAGUUAUCGGCUUCAAUGUACUCCACUGUAGUCAUAGGGAGGUAAAAUCUGCCAUCUUCGAUCUGCUUUGCUGCCAAAUACAGGAAGGCAAGAUCUGCAAUCUUCAAUCUAUUCCACUGCCAGAUACAGGGAGAUAGAGUUAUCGGCUUCAAUGUACUCCACUGUAGUCACAGGGAGGUAAAAUCUGCCAUCUUCGAUCUACUUCGCUGCCAAAUACAGGAAGGCAAGAUCUGCAAUCUUCAAUCUGCUCUGCUACAAACGAGAGAGGCAAGGUUUGUCUUCGAUCUGCUUCGCUGUCAGUGCAGGAAGGCAAGAUCUGCUAUCUUCAACCAGCUCUACUACAAACGAGAGAGGCAAGGUUUAUCUUCAAUUUUUACUGAUCUGUUCUCUAGGGAACAUGACCUGUAUAAUGAACCUAAUUAUGCCUAAUGAUUAGGAUGGCAUGAUCAAAAUGAAUCAAAUGCUCCUAACUAGACAUGCGUGAAUGGUAUUUGAAUGAAUGCAGAAUGUCAUGAAAAUAAUUCCUUAAUGCUUAGGUUAUCAUCGCUCAAAAGCUUAUUAAGGCUUUAUCACUAACGUGUCGCAGCGCCUUCUUGACCAGCCGGCAUUUCUAAAGAAACACGUAAUCUGAUUGCCCCCACUGUGAACAUCGUAGUUCAAUCCAUUGUGACAUAAAAUUUGUACCAUCAAUCUCCUACUGUAACCCAAGGGUAGAAAGAUAUGGCUUUUUUCAAUCUUCUCCUAUCGUAAUUCAAGGGUAUAAGAUUUAAAUCCUUCUGGUCCCUUACAUCGUUCCCAAGGUGUCGUACCAAAGACUCAUGCGCAAACAAGGGCUCUCCUUCCCGAGGUAACCUCUUCCUAUUGCCUGAAGAUCAUCACUUUCUUGUUUAUUCAAGCUUUGUCACCAACAUGGCAUCUUGUCAAUCAACGCAUUUGACGACAAAAAUCCAAAGAGAAAGUCUAAAUUUAGACUAUUCCUUCCCAAAUUUCCAACCUUUAAAUUUGGAGUGUUCUAAACAAUUGUCCUGCUUCAGGCUCCUAUAUUAUUUAGAAACUUUUCAGAGUAAUAUGCAAAACUUCCUUCGUGAAAAUUUUAUUAGUCCAUUAAUCAUUAUUCCAAUGCAACAUGCUUGCAAAAGAUCAUAACGAUAGAUAAAAUAAAAUUGAUUUGAGAGCAUAGCUCAAAAUGGAUAAACUAUCAAGGAUAGCAAGAAUAAAAGGGGAAUUAAUUGGAAACACGUAUCUUGAAAAAGAAUGAAGUAUUCCAAGAAGAAAAAAAAGAAAAAAAAAGUAUGAGGACAAGAUGCCCCAGAUAUCGUAGCUUGAACUUCUCUGUACCAACUCUUUGAAAGACCAUUCUGUGUUUGACAUGUGUUUAGGAGAUCUACAAGACUUUGUCGAUGCCCCAAGAUGCUACCUACCCUUUCCUGUUGAAUCAGGUAUAGCAAGAUCAUUACAUGCCCCGAUUUGAUCAAAAUUUGAGCUGCUCUGAUCGCCUCAUGCCCCAAUUUGAUCCAAAAUUUGAGUCGCUCUUUUUUUGGGUUUUCAACUCAAGCCCCUUUGGUCUCAAGGCGCCCUUUGCGGGUUUUCACCUUGGCCUCUCCUUUUUUCACUCAUUUUUCUUUUCUUCUUUUUCAUUAAUUUUCUCUUUUUUAAGUGAAGUAUUUGUUCCUUGAAUCAAAAUUCUCAAGAUUAGGCAAGUUCUUGCCAUCUAUCUUGGUUAAUACCUACACUCUCCCAGAUAAAGCCUUCCACAUAAGGUCCUUCUGGCUUGGCAUCCACUUUCUUCUGAAGUCCCCUUUGUAUGGGAAGGAUCUUCUUUGAUAUCGGGUCCCCUUUGUGGAAUUCUCUGGAGGAAACCUUGUUUUGGUGAACUCAUACCAUUUGCUUUUGGUACAUUUGACCAUGAUAGAUAUUUUGAACAUUCCUCUUCAACCAGGAUUGGAUCCAAAAACUCAAAGAGAAGGAAAUCUUGACCUCAAUAGGUAAAACCGCGAUAAGCCCAAAAAGAGGGCGUUGCCCUGAGAGAGUUUUUUUUGGCGAUAUGGUGUUAAUCUUGAACAGACUGCAAACUUCUGAUAUUGUGCUCUUGUUCAAAUUUAGUGCAUUGUCAAAUAUGAUCCUUUUCGACUUUUCAAGCUGACGUGAUUUUUUUAAAAAAUUGCUGUCGACUUUGUGACAUUGGCAUAUGAAGCAGCUUCUUCCCGUGAAGAUAAACUGAUGACCGCUAGACUCUUUUGACGAGAUUGACCUAACAACCUUCAUGCCCCACAUAGGGGAAGUCAUAGACUCCAUUGAUUUUUCGUAAGGUGGAAUCUAUUUUUCACCUUGUUCUACCCUCCUCAAUAAGUACGGAGAUAGGCCACAAUCUAUGUCCUCUUCGAAGUCAUGAGAUUCCUCUAAACACAUGUCUCACUCAAAAGGAGGUUCUGAGUUUGUAGCAGUGUCAUUCAUGUCGUUGAUAUUCAGGGACCCAUUAUAGGUGCAAAAGAAUAUACAAAGAAUGUACGAAUUUAAGAAUAAUUAUCUGUACAGUAUGAUUAUGAAUGAAUGAAUGAUUUGGAAGAAAGAAUGAAAGAUUAAAAAUAAUUAUUCAUAAAGAAUGAAAGAAUAUUAGCUCAAAAAUGAUUGCAAAGAUUCAUUUCAUUAAAAUAACGACGUUCAGACAUGAGCCUAUUUCACAAAAAGAGUUCAUAUUGCUUCAGGCUAAAAGCAACAAGUUUAUUCUGAAUAUUACUCUAAGUAGGUUCUAAAUACUACAGAGACUUCUUUUACAGUCUGAUUUAUUUAGAACACUUCCAAGUUUAUAAGGGUCGAUAUCUAAUAAAGUCCCUUCUUCAAUUGUGUCUUCAUGCAUGUCAUUGAUGUGAACACUUCCCAACAUCUCUUCAUACAUCGCAUUCACCUUAUUGUCAAUCAUGAUUGGGUAGCAGAUUUUCUGCCGUAGAUGAGUCACCCAACUUGACAAUACCCAUGUUGAUGAGUUUUUCAACUAGUUUCUUGAAGGUGAUGCAAUUCUCUAUUGAGUGCCCCGUAAUUCCUGCGUGGUAGUCACAGUGUGUGUUCGCAUUAUACCACUUUGGAUAUGGAGGUUGUGGGGGUUUUGAGUAGGAAGGGGAAACAACAUGCGCAUCGAAUGAAUUUUGAUACAACUCUUCAUAUGACAUUGGAAUUGUUGUGAACUGGAGGUUCUCAGUACCUGGUUUCACUCCAGGUUCUUGUCUCAAAUAGCCUUGUUGGUUAGCGACCAUUUUUCUUGGCUGAUUCACCGUAAUUGGUUUUGAAUAACCCUUGCUAUAUGUACUCGUGUUGUUCACCUCAUUGUCUUUGUGCUUUGGGGUUGAUCUCUUGAUGCAUUCUUCCGCAUCUAUCUUCCCACUUCUUAUUGCAUUUUCAAUCAUUUCACCAGACAUCACUACAUCUGAGAAGCUCAUGGUAGCACUUCCUAACAUGUGGUUAAUGAACGGUGCUUUCAGAGUGUUGAUGAAAAGCAUCGUGGUUUCUUUCUCUAAAAGAGGUGGCUGGACCUGUGUCGCGACCCCUCUCCAUCUUUGGGCAUAUUGCCUAAAGCUCUCACUUUGCUUCUUUUCCAUGUUCUGCAAUGUGAUUCUAUCGGGUGUCAUAUCCGUUACAUGACUGUACUGCUUCAUAAAAGCUUGCGCCAAGUCUCUCCAUGAACUAACUUUAACACGACUCAGUUGGUUGUACCAUUUGGCUACAGAUCCGAUCAAACUGUCCUGGAAGCAGUGGAUUAACAGUUGAUCGUUGUUGACGUAUCCUGUCAUUCUUCGACAGAACAUAGUUAUAUGAGCUUCAGGACAACUAGUCCCAUUAUAUUUUUCAAAUUCCGGCAUUUUGAACUUAGGUGGGAGUACUAAAUCAGGGACCAAACUCAGAUCCUUGGCGUCAACCCCGCGAUGAUAGUCGAUGUUCUCCAUAAAUCUAAAUUUUUCCUCUAACCAUCUACAUCGGUCCUCCAGUUAUUUUGGCAGGUUCAUUCUUGUUUUUUCUGUUUCUGCCACGUCAUCGAGGUCCGGGACCACCGGAUUAGUGGGAUUAUCCCCGGGAUUAGAACCUGAGCCCAUUUGAAAAUGCAAUGGUACCGAGGCACCAGCCAGAUAUUGAGGUCUAAUGGUAACCGGUACCCACUGUGGGUACACCUCUGGUUGUGCUUGGAUGUUAGUUGGGGUGAAACCUGGAGGAUAAACAGGGUCAUCGUGAUCUUCCCCAGCAUCAACUACGGGGUCUUUUCCUUUGUUAUUUCCUCCAGCCAAUAACUGCUUUAAUUGGUUCAUCACAGUGUUCUGGGAUUCUAACAUGUCCUGCUGGAUUUUUUCCAGUCGUUCAUGCAUCUGAUCUUGCAUCUCUCGUUGCAACUGUUCCAAUCUUUCCAACCUUUGAUCCAUUGCUUUUGUUUGGCGACGAGUACCGUAGUGAUAUUUGAUUAGAUUUUUGUUGGUUUCCAGGGUAACUGUCAUAAUUUAAUUUUAUUAGGGUCAUUUUAUGAGAUGUAAUGCAAAUGUAUGAGAUGAAUGCAAAAAAGAGGCAUUGAUUCGAAUUCAAUUUCAUUAGAAAACUCAACUAGAAAGCAAAUUUCUUUACAUAAAAUAAAUUACAUAUACGGCUUCGCCUUUAUACCCAAAGCCUUAACCUUCCUAAGAAGCCAAGCUAAAUCUCGACCUCGGCUUGAUUCUGACUCAUAUUUUAAACUCAAUACAUCAGCCUGAACUGCUAAUGUUUGCAGAUGAUCAGCCACUUCCCGCACUUGAGUCACAGCUUUGCCCAUAACGUAAUCUCUAUCUCUAAUCUGCCUUUGAGAAUGAUGGAAUUGCUCUUGCCAUUGAUCAUUACUCCUCUCAAGAAGCUCCAUUCGUAGCUCAGAAUUGUGUAAUGCGCCCUCAAGCUCCUCUACCUUUCCUUUCAGUUCUUCGAUCUUAUUUAAGCUUGCUCUUAAUUCGAUCAUGGAGUUGCGACUACGGUACGAGUGAAGUGACUUUUCUAGCUCUGCCACCUUGGCCUUUAAUCCUGCCUUCUCAUUUCGGCACUCUAACAAACUCCUUUCCAAAGCGUUUUCUCGAGCUCGAGCAUCUUAAAAUUUCUUUUCCCACUGAUUGGCCCUAUUCUUUUCCUCAUUGAUCUCUUGUCGCCACUGCUCUGACGUUUUACCCAGACCGACAGUUCUCAUCGACAAUCGCAGCUUCUUGUAAUCUGUUUUUAGACUAUCCAAAUCCUCUUCAGCUUUGUUCUUUCCCUUCCUUAAUUUCUCGGCUUCUAGCUUGUGGAUAUCGAUGUCUAAUCCCAAAUGCACUCUUUCUUCUUUUAACUGUUCUAUCCUCUUUCCCAACUCAGAAUUUCUUUUCUCAAAGUCUCGUUUGAUGAUCUCUAAUUCUGACGGAACUACUUGUAGAUGCUCCUCUAUAGACUGAACGCAAUCUUCCCUCGGCUUAGGGAUGUUGUCAUUGACUCUUUUACUCCACCACCCAUAAUAUUCUGAAGUUGCCAUCGCUCCUACGGUAAAUCUUUUCAUUCGGUGAACCUGUUUCCAAGCGUUAGAUAUUUCUCGAGUUUUUCUCUUGUAGUUUUCAUCCUUAUAAGAAAACUCACAUUGAGCCAGCCCUUGUGUUGCUGGUAUGAACUGUCUCGAUCUAUAUUGUCUUAAUACGAGUAAAGGGGCAUAACCGACAGCUCUCCAAAUUCCGAGUAAAGGGACCCAGUCGAAAUCCCCACAUCGGUACAGGAUCUCGUCGAGUACCAUCCAAGGAGCUUUCCAUUCAACGUCAUCCUCCUGAAGAUUUUGGAGCAUCGUCAUCCACUUUUCUUCCGUGGUGUCGUCUCGUCUUGGUGUAGCAACUUGUUCCUUCAAUGGAGAAUAGUCUUCUGAGAAGACUCGAUAGGAGACAUUUUCCACCUUCCAAAAGUGACUAUGGAACCACACCAAUAGUAGCUGCGCGCAUCCGAUGAACCUUCCCUCCCCUGCUCUUCGACAUGCGCUUAGAGAUCUGAAGGUUUCUGCUAAGAUUGCCGGGAUGGGCGUGACUCCUUUACUAAGCCGAUCGAACAAAUCAGAGACGGCCUCAUCUACGUGCCCUAAAGCUCUAGGGAAAAUUACCAAUCCAUAGAUACCUAGAGCGAAGACAUCCACUCUUUUCUUCACAUCAGGGUGUGCUAAUACUAAAUCUCGCAAGCUUUUCCAAGGAACGCAUUUACUGUCUCCUUUCUGUUGGAUCCGGGCAGCGACCCACUGUUCGCUCAUCCCUGUAAUGCUCAUCAAUUUUUUUAAUAAUGUCGGGACACUAGCAGCUCUAGAAUAGGCUUUGUCAAUUUGAAUCUUUGGACACCGAAGCAGGGUCGUAUAUUCUUCCAUGGUAGGAACCAAGUCCACUUUUCCAAAAGUGAAACAACUGUAAGCAGGAUUCCAAAACUGGGCUAGGGCUCGGAAUAAAUGCUUGUCCACUUUGAUACCAAGUAGGUAAGGCAAGUCCCCGUAGUCACAGUAAAACAUCUGCUUGGUCCCGUCGUCCCAUUGAUCCCAUAUUUCCUUCAUUUCUCGAAGAUCAUUUUGGAUUACGCUGAUACGGGUGAAGUCCCAUAACUCUGAUACGUACCCUUCUGCAAGACUAUCGCCUUUCUCUCUCCACAUCGUCUCAGCCCAUAAUUGUACAGCUGCAUUGUCUUCUACUUUAUCAAGAAACCUCAUUUCCAUGAUAAGCUUUCUAUCUAUACUGAACGUGAAUCGACACCUCUUUUGAAAUGAAAAUGCCAUGCAAUCACAAACAAAGCAAAUUAGAUCUAGGAUUUAAAGUAAACAAUAAUAAAUAAAGCAUCUAUUCGGUAAGCACUAGGGUCUGGAAUAGCUCUAUCUCGGUGGGUUCUUAUGGCUCGCUAUGUGUGGUUUGGUUCUAAAGUAAGGGUACCUGAACCAGCAGAUUCCUCGAUCCUCACGCAUUAUAGGCUCAUAUGGACUGAGUUCAGUUCAGGGGAAUACAUUUCCCUAUGGCCAUGCGGAGAUGAAAAUCUCACGAAGACAUAGGUACGGAUGUAUCCCGGAAGCGAUUCACUAUCCCAUGCGGAGGUGAAAACCUCACGAAGGCGUAGUUUCUCACUCCCACUUAAAAGGUGUGACCAACGGUCAUGCAAUGGAAUGUGCAGAAAUAUACACCUAAACUCUAAACAAAGCAGUAAUUAUAAACAAAUAAUAAAAGCCAAAAUAAAGGCAAAAAGCAAGUUUUCAAUUUUGACACAAAGACAAAAAGCAAUCAACUCGUGGCUUGACUCUCUUAAUGUCCCCAGUGGAGUCGCCAAGCUGUUGACACCAUUUUUUUGAUUGAAAAACGGGGUCGACUUGGAUUUUGAAAAUAAAACGAAAUUGGGAGUCGCCACCAAUCUUUUUUGAUGAGGUGUGAUCGGGUCACCUCGUAAAAUGGUUGUUUUUGAUAAACAAUUUGAUUUUAUUAAAACAACGAGUUUGGUCUACGAAAUCCAAAAAUAGGUUCGGGAGUCGGUUACGCACGAGGAAGGGUUAGCACCCUCGAUACGCCCAAAAUUGGUACCUAGUUGAUUUCUUAAUGUCUUGGUGUCGAAAAUUAAAAACUCAAAAAGAAUUUAAAAUACGAUCCCUCCUUAUAUUGUUAUUUUAAAAUUACUCAAAUAAAUCAAAAUGGAAAAUGCUUCCUUAUCUCGAAGUAACAAGAUGUCACGUCCAGUAAGUUAGGAUACAACACAUCGUAUUUUCGAGAGUAAGCUUGCCUUUAUUUUUUGUUUAAACCUCAUUUAUUUUAAUUUCAAAAGGAUGUUCGGUUAUUUAGGAUCAACGCGAGAAGAAUCGAAGCUCAGUAAGUUAGGGCACGAUUUUCUCGAAUUUUCUAAAUACGAAAUAUUGCCUUCAUUAUCGAAAGUUUAAAAGGGUAUUUGGCCAUUUGGUCGAACGAGAAAUCGGAACCCAGCACGUUAGGGCACGUUUUCUCGAAUUUUCCAAACGCGAAAUAUUGCCUUAAUUUAAAACUUUUCCUUUUUGAAUAAUUGCGAGUACAAUACUCGAACGGGAUGCAUUUGUUUUGGGAGUAAAACAAAAUAGAUUAUAUCGAAUAAAAAUGUUGAAACAUUCACGAUGCAAUAGCAUGAAAUAAAAUAUAAUAGUGCACACGGGAUAAUAAUAUAGGAAUACAAUACUGAUGUAAGUGAAUGCCAAUGAUAUGAAAGCGAAUAAACGAAUUAACGUACACGUAAUGGCAAUAAUCUCACAACAUUCAUCAUUUAAAAAUAACAUCAAUAAAUAAAGUCUAAUGAAUUAAAAAAUAAUUUAAAAAAGUAUAAAACAAACUAAAAUCAAAUAAAAAUGUAAAAAAAUAAAAUAAAAUAAAAUGAUGGUGAUUGAGAAUAUAUAUAAAACAAAUUUAAAAAGGAUGAUAUAUUUAAAUAAAACAAAUGAUGUACAUAUAUGUAUAAGUAUAACAUAAUAUAAGAAAAGAAAAAUCUAAAAAAUAAAAAAAUAAUAAAGCAUUUUAAAAUAAAUAUGUUGCAUUUAAAAAGGUGUUCAAAACCAUUUUUAAAUAAUAAAACACGAAUCUGGACUGAAAUGAACGCGGGUAAAACAACCAGGGACUAAUCCUGGAAUUAUUCCUGAAGUCCCAUGCGCAGCGUUUCACUGGGACUGAAAUGAAUCAACAGCGAAACCUUCGGGGUCAAAUUAAAAAGCUUAAAAAGAUAAAAGGACUGCAUUGAAGACAGGUAACAAAACUAAAGGAUCCGCAAUGCAAAUAACCCAUUCGGCCUUGAGAACGCGCGGAUCCUCUGCUUAACCGGGUCGGGUCUUUGGGUUAAAGACGAAACGGCGUCGUUUUGGCCAUGGUGCUAAGGCCCAAAACGACGUCGUUUUACACCCAAAAUAAAUACUCUAAAAAAAACAAAAAUCAGUUUAAACCCACUUUUAAAAAAAAUCAGAGAGCUUUCAAACUCUCUCUAACAGCCUCGAAUCCGGCCACAUGGGGCCACCGUCUGCGCCGCCGUGGCUCCACCGUAGGCGGUGGCCGGAGCGACGUGGGGAUCGAAUUUUCAACCCGAUUUAAUAACCAUUUGAAGGCCAAACCUUCUAGGCUCAAAAGCUGAAAGAAGAGAACCCCCCAACACCCCUUCGGGGUCCGAUUUCAGUGACCAAACACGGCCACCGGCGAUGGGAUUUACGGCGAACAGGUAUGGCGCUCUUCCUCUCUUCUUUCUAUUUAUUAUUUAUUGUUAAAACUAUUUGUAAAAGAGAUGAACAAAACAAAAAAUAAUAAGAAUAAGAAUAAAAAGAAAACAGCAAACAGAAAACAAAAAAGAAGAAAAGAAAACGAUCAGAUUUUUAACUUAUAAAAUCUGUGUUCUCAUUUUGAUUAAUUUAUGUAUGUUCGUUUACACAGAAAAUCGAAGGAGCUCUAAAAAUGGCUCUUGUUGUUUUUUAUAGGCCAUUACAAACUGUUUUUUUAUUAUUAUUGAUUGCUCUUUAUUUCUUUGCCUUCAUUUCUCUUUGCAGGUGGUCUGACACGCGUGGAGGGCCAACGGCGGCAGUGUCAGAGGCGUGCACUGAAGGUGCCUGGUGGCUGGGGGUGGCAGACGAGGAGGCCACCCGAGGCAUGCGGUUCCUAGGGUUUCUUUUACUCAUUUCUGCUGAAAAUGUUAAUGUUGUUUGGGCUAGGUUUUUAAUUUUUGGGCCCAUUUGUGAUUGGGUUAUUAUUUUUACUAGGCCAGCAAAUUUGGGCUUCUACAACCUUCAUUCUAAAUUGGUCGUCAAACUUUAAAACAUUUUAAUUACAUCCCUAAACUAUCAAAGUUUUACAUAUAAAAUCCUUCCAUUGCUAAAAUCAAUAUUCUAACCAUCAAAUUAGAUGUUAAAUGUUAUGUGACAUUGUUUUAAAUAGAAAAAGUUAAAUGAAAAAUGAAUAUCAUUGGAAUGGAAAAAACUUGAAUUUCGGCUUUUCGAAGCUUUUACAAAUACUUAUAGCUCACACUUUUUUUUUUAGUUUUUAACUUUUAAAAGUUACUAGAUAACACUUUUCUUUAAAAUUUUCGUUUUAAAUUAUGUUAUAUAAGAUUUAGCAUAUCAUUUAAUAGUUUUAAUAAUUAAAAGACUUGAUUGAUAUAACAUUAUUAACUUGGGGAUGUAAUUAGAAUAUUUUGAAGUUUGGAGGCCCAUUUAAAAUGAGGGUUAUAGUUUAGGAAUAUAUGGUGUAACUAACUCCCUUUAAAAAAAAUAAAACAGUAACUAUAUUCCUAAAAUUAGAAACUAAGGGUACGUUUGGUUCGCUGUAUUAGAUUAGAGGUGUAUUGGAUUAGAGUUGUAUUGGAUUAGAGGUGUAAUAGCAAAUCAACUGUUUGGUUGACUGUAAUGGAAUAGAGGCGUAAUAGUAAUCUUGUGUUUGGUUGAAUGGAAUAGAGGUGUAAUAGCAUAAUGGAAAAAACUAAAAUGACUAGAAUACCCUUACCAUAAAUUUGUUUUGGUAAAUAAUUAUUGUUAUUAUUAUUUAAAUUUUAAUAAGAUUAUUAUUAUCAAUAAUAAAUAAUUUAAUCAUAUUUAAACAUAAUUAUUAUUAGAUAUAUUAUAAUUAAAAUAUAGAAUUUAAUAAAAUUCUUAAUAAUCAAUAUUCUUAUAUGAAUUUACUCAAAUAAUAAUAUAUGAUACUAUAAAAUAUAAAUUAACAUAAUUAUUAUUAAAUAUAUUAUAAUUAAAAUAUAUAAUUUAAUAAAAUUCUUAAUAAUUAAUAUUCUUAUAUGAAUUUACUCAAAUCAUAAUAUAUGAUACUAUAAAAGAUAAUUUGAAAUAAUUAAUAUUAAAUAUAUUUUAAUUAAAAUAUAUGAUUUAAUAAAAUUUAAAAUAAUUAUAACUAAUAAAUUAUCUUAUAUGAAUUUGUAUAAUUUAAAAUAAUUAUUAUCUUAGUCAAAAUAUGACUAAUUUUCCGAAGCAUGGGAAGAGGAUUUAUCUAAUAAUUUUAAAAUUUAUCUCAAAAAUGCUUAAAUUAAUAAAUUGCAAAAAGAAAAAAGAAAAAAUCGAGAGGUAUUUGGGUCAGACUCAAGUUAUUUCCAAAAUGUGUUCGGAUGCUUAAAUUAAUGAAUGAAAAAUCACAUAAGCGAUAAAGUGGCAAAACAUUUGCAUAUUAUACAGCUUUAAAGAAACUUAGAAUACACAACAAAUGAUGUUUGCAUUCUAAAAUAUGGUAAAAAAUAUAUUGCUUUAACGAAAAUACAACAAAACAGAUCCCAAUACCAUGCCCCAUGGUUCUAAAUUUACCCACUCUUACUUCGACCAAGCGACCGUAUCGAUUUCAGCUUGUGCACUCCUAUAUAAUUCCAGUCUCUUCGCAAGAGCGGAUCGACGUUCCAUGAUUGCUGGAUCCUCAUUCAGUAAUGCCGAUAAUCGUUUUUGCUAUAAAAGAAAUUUCCCAGAAAUCAUUCACUGAUCAUCUGUUUCACCAAAAUAAGUAACAGACGGUAAGUUGACUCUUAUAAACCUUGAAGAAUACUAAACUCAAUGUCAAAAGAUAGAAAAAUAGCAGGCAAAUUUUAUUUGGUACAUGAACAAUAUAAGCAAAGAUGGGAAUAUACCGGAGUUUCACUCAUAGCCUUGUGAACCAGAUCCUUCAGAAUGGAAUGAGUCUGAAAAAUAUAAAAAAUGAAAUCAAUCCAAUUUGAAGCAUCAGUCUAUGACCAACAUGAUCCCUAGUAAACCGAAACCUUAAUAGCAGUUAAAAAUUAUCAACAUUUUUUAUGUAAGACAACUAAAUAGUAGAGGAUAGCAAGAAUAUUGAUACUUGAAAGAAAAAAAAUGUGUUUUAAGAAUCACAACUGAACUGAUGCUGAAAGAAAAAGAAAACCAGAUGAUCUUGGCAUGCCAAAUUGAAUAUGACAGAUAUAACAUUUUUUCUAAAAUUUACUUUCAUACCGCAUCAACAGCAGCCUCAGCUGGACCUCUGAUAGUAACUAAAGUAGAUUCAAUCAAACGACGGUAUCCUUGUUCAGGAGCUAUUAAAUGUGGUUGAUAGCCAUCAGCUUCAAUAAUGAGCUUCCUAAUAUUCUCCAUUGAUAGUUGCCUGUCAAAUUGCAACCUUUUCAAAGCAGCAGGAAGUUGGUUGUCGAAAACAUUGUAAACCUUAUCACCACCAGUACGCCUGUGAACAACAUUGAAAGUCAAGACAAAAUCUCUAACAAAAUUAGCAAAAUUGAAUGAUGUUGAAGACAGGUGUAUUAAGGAAGGUAAAACAAACAAGACGUGAUACAUACACUCCAUCCAAAUGUUCUCUGAAAUUUUGAUAAAAAAUACGGCAAAUCUCCAUAAUUGUGUACAACUUCCCCUGUAUAAGCAUCUCAAUCAUCAGUAAUUCCUAAAGAGCUUAUAACUAAUAAUCAACUGCAAGUGGAAUAGCCAAAGAAUUCCAAACUCCACACACAAGAGCACACUUACACCCGCAUCAGCUGCAAUAGGCUUUCCAAGGCGACUCAAUUCGGUUUCAAGUUCAGCAAUUGUUUUAUUAAUAAGGGACUGAAUGCCAGGGAUUCUAGACUUGAUAACAGUUUCCAAAUGCUGAGACAUUAACCAGUAUGACAAAGAUAAUACAACUUAAGAAAAGAUAGCAGUAAACCCAGUAUCCUCUUGUCCUUUACAAGAAAGUAUAGGAUAAAAAGUUCAAUCUAAUGAUCAAUAAACAGAAUUCUACUUCUUUGAGAGAAAAUGUUUAGAAAUUAGCUAAAAUUGCAUAAGAACGGUAAGUAUAUGUGAAUGACGCAUAUCAAACUCAUUGCAGCUUCAAUCUAAUUUACUAUAUCAGUCCCCAUUCAACCAAAUUAUCACAUGUAAAAUCUUUCAAACCAUCAAUAGAUAUCAAUAGAUAAUUAUCACAUAAUUAUAUUUUCAAUAAACUGUGUGCCUGCACAGAAUCAACUUACCAAAUUUGGGCAAUUACUCUUCAAAACGUCUCAAACAAUGUCUCUUCAAGGAGAUCAGUUUCAUCAAUUGUGUCAAAGUUGAACUUCACCUAAAAACAGAUGUAGGUUCCCAAGAAUAAACACAAUAGCAACCUACAACAUCUAAUUAACCAAAUAGAAUGCACAAAAUGCAUACCAGUACUGUAUGUUGGACAUUAUAUUUGUUCUUGCAACAUUCACGGUUCUCAGAAGGUGUUGGCAUGAACUAGCAAAUCCCUUGUGUGACCUAAAUGAAACAAGAUUACAAAGUGAAAGUAAAAAAUUAAUGUCCACCUGUCUAGGGGAAUCUCAGUAGCAUCAAAGAAGCAUCAGAGGAAAAUUGGUCUAAUCAAACUAGCAAAUCACCCUCACUUUUGUGUUACAUUUGCUCAAUAAGAUUCGAGUUACAAACUCCAAAUUGGAGUCUCAUCCACUAGAACAGUCUAAACACAAAAGUUGAAGAAGUGAAUGCACUAACAAGGCAGUAACCUUUACCUUUUGAGAGAGCAAUCGGUCGAAAGAGUGUCGAAACCCACUACUUGAGAGCAAUCGAAAGAGUGUCGACUGGUUGAGAAGGCCAAUCGAAAGAGUGACAGAGAAGUUGUAAAGAAAAAGAAAAGAAGGGAGAAGGUAGAAGGAAAUCAGUUGAAACUUGAGCAAAUGGGCAGAAGGUAGAAGGAAUGAAGACAAUGGGGAAGGCAAUCGAGAGGGUAAAACAGAGAGCAAAUCGACAGAGAGCAAAUCGGCCGAAAAAGAAAAGAAAUGAAACGGGGGGAGCAAGCUUGAAGGAACGGAAGAGGAACACAGGGGAUCGGGGGAGGGUAAACAGGGAGGGUUUGCUGAAGCCGUUCCUAAUCUGGGCAAAAGGGGGGAAUAGAAAUCGGUAAUUUUCAGCGAUUAGGAAAGUAACCGAUUACACCCGUAUUACCAAUACUUUAAACCAAACACGGGAUAGAGAGGAUUAGGUGCCCACCGAUUAGGGGUGUAUUGGCAAACCAAACAUAUAAAGGGAUUAAGUUAGAAAGUACAGCGAACGACAUCUAAUUAGACCAUGUUUCUCUCAUUCUUCCCCGGUCCCCCAAUCCCCCCCUAAAAAACACCUGCUAAGGUGACAUCAUUUAGAGGCCAUACUUUAGAAAAUUACUUCAGCAAAGUUACUCUAUAUUACAUCAAACGUUCAAAAUAAUUCAUGAUACUCCACCAAGGUUUAGCUUUAGCAUAUGUUGCAAUAAGUACCACUCAGUAUUAGUGGAUCUUAAAACAUCUGCAAUACAUUGAGUAAUUAACGAAUUAACUAGUAACAGAAUAACACACUUAGAUCAAAAUCAUGCCACAACAAGUUACCACCAGUACAGCAAAUCAAACAGAAACCCAAGUUUAUCACUUAUACAUCCUUAAUAAUAGGAAGAUUUGAAAACAAAUCAAACCCCAAAGUGAAACGUAAACCAAAAAGAAGAAGAGCUAUGUUAAAGCUUCAUAUUGUUGCAAAAUACUUUUAGUAAGUAGUCAAAAUAAAAUCUGUAAUAAGCGAGGGUUUCCACAAUGUGGACCCAAACAUGUAACGUUAUUGGAAAAGUAAAAUUUAUUCAUCCAAAAAAUAACAAAGUUUAGCUGAAAACAACAACUUCACGGUUUACUUUACGUUAACAAACAAAAUUUUAUCUUAAACCCCACCCCUAGCUAAUUCAGUAGAGACAUUACAAACAAAUAUGCUGCCAAAAUUUUCUACUACAACCACUCUUGAUAUAUUUGAGUCUAAUAAAAAGAUGUUUUAAGUCCCUUAAAAGUUAGAGAAAAAUAUUUUAAUAAAAUUAUUUUUUGACUUUAAAAAAAAAAAUCUUUUUAGGCCAUUUGAAAAUUGAAAAAUAAUAUUUUAAACCUCUUUUAUUUUUAGGCCUUGAAUAGUCACAUCUCGAGACAAUCCCCAAAAUUAGACCUGACCACAACAUGUAGAUGGAUGCAUUAAUUUAAUUCCAAUAUAUUCUAAUAAUGGUUGAGUUGAGUGUAGGGUUUUCCCGCUACCAUGUCCUGCAGUUAUCAUGCAUCAUAUUCAUUUUACAAGCUUGUACAAUGCAGCCCCAUAAAUGUUUGAUAAAUGGUUUCUUCCUGUCCACAGAUUACAAACCAGCUCUACCCUUUGAAGAGGAGACCCUAACAACUGCCGUUAGACUCCACAGUUACGUGAUGGGAUGAAGUGUUAUCGGCCUUGUGUUUAUUGCCAAUAGAAUAGAAUUUUUGAAUUCGAAUGGAUUUUUUUAAGAUAAGAAAGUGUCAAUUUUUCUCUGAUAUUCUUUUUCCUUAUCAAACAAAUAAGUUUAAUGUUUUCUAGAAAGUAUAAAUGAUCUUACUAUAAAUUUUUUUUUAAAUUAUUCUAUAUAAAAUUAAAUAUUUCUUUCUAAUAUGUAAAAAAGAAUAAUUAAUACUAUGCUAAAAAUUUCAUAAAUAUCAUUAUAAUUUCAAAAAUUAAAUUAAAAAAACUUGACAUUAAUCCUAUUUCUUAAAAUUGAACUCAUCAAUGAUAGAAUCUGUUGAAAAUUCUUGAGCUAUCAAGUAAGUUAAAAGAAAAUCAUCAUCCAUUCUUUUGCGAAGCAUUAUCUUCACAAUUUUUAUGUCUAAAAAUGCUCAUUCGGUUGUUACAGUAGACACGAGAAGAGUUAUCAUAAAUUCUUUUCUUUUUCUCUCGGCAGUGUUAGCAUCUUACCGGAGAAAGAUAAUUCUUUAGCAAUACAUAUAAAUAAAAAUAUAAAAAAUUUACUAAUAUGUAUGAGUAUGAGUCAAAUCAAUUAAUUUUAUAAUUUAACUUUAAAAUUUAUAUGGUAACUCUAAAAUAUAUAAUAAUUUAUAUAUAAAAUUCAAAAAUAUAAAAAUGGGAGCGACCGCCCUGACGCACCCCCUACGUUACCACAAAAAUCAAACGAAAGAGCUCGUAACAUUGAUGAUGCACAUGCUAAUCACCUAGAGUAAGCAUAGACAAGUCUACUAAGGUUGGCAGUUCUAGCAGCCAAACAUUACUCUCAGAAAAUCCAAGCACUUCAUAGUCUCGGCAGAAAGGAACGGAAAGUUGAAGUAUCAAUCUAGCAAAGUAAAGCGUUUGCUAAUGGAGGGUCUGAUGCAAGUGCCUUAUGAUGUUACGGUUAGGUUCAUGUUGACUUUGAAAUUUUGAGAAAUUUGAGAAAUUUUUACACCUUAAGCCUUUGAAAUUUUAUAAUAUUUUUCUUCUUUUUUACAGCAUAUGAAGAACUAUCAGGAUCUUCUCAAGAAGAUAUCAAAGUGGAUGAAACAGGAUAGUCUUCUUUUUGUUCAUCAUUUCUGUCAUAAAGCAUUUGCUUACCACUUUUGAGACUUGCGAAAUAAACUGAUUGUGCUGAGUAACCCUAAUUGUUAUUUCUAAUAUGGGUUUAUGCAAUAACUAGACGUCAUCCCGUUUUCAAGAAUCUAUUUUAAAUCGAAGGGAUCUUAGCUGAACUGACAAUAUCUUGUCAAAUUCUUUUAAUCUAGGACAUAAAUGAAGAUGACUGGAUAACCAGGUACUUCUUUACAGGAGGUAGAAUGCCUUCAGCUAAUCUGCUUCUAUAUUUCCAGGUAAAAAGCCUUUUUACAUCUCAUAUAUGCUAUGAAUUCUGAAAAUUGAAAUUCAAUAGCCGUAGAUUUUGAUGUCAUAUUUAUGAUCUGCAUGACCCAACUGAUUUUAAUGCCUUGUUGUCCAUCCUUUGUACGCAGGAUGAUGUUUCUGUUGUAAACCAUUGGCUUAUGAAUGGGAAACAUUAUGCAAAAACUAGGUGAGAGCAGUUGUUUUGUAAUACCAAUAUUAAAGACCAUUACAGUCUUUCAAUAGCUAUACUAACUUGUUUAACCACCCUGACUCUUCCCUGAGAAAUAGCUAUAGUAUUUGUUUCCCUGUUAGCAAUUUGAAAGUUCAGAGAGUACAUUUUUAUAUUGCAGUGAAGAGUGGCUGAAGAGGAUGGACCGAAGCUUGGCUUCCAUUAAGCCAAUAAUGGAGUCCACCUAUGGCAAGGAUCAGGCUGUGAAAUGGACAGUGUAUUGGAGAACAUUCUUUAUUGCUGUUGCGGAACUCUUUGGAUACAAUAAUGGAGAAGAAUGGAUGGUUGCAGUUUUCCUAUUCAAGAAGAAAAAAAGCCAUCAUCAAUUCUCAU
rnacentral:lncRNA from 1 species